GGGCGCAAGCCUGAUCCAGCCAUGCCGCGUGCGGGAAGAAGGCCUUCGGGUUGUAAACCGCUUUUGUCAGGGAAGAAAUCCCUUGAGCUAAUACCUCGGGGGGAUGACGGUACCUGAAGAAUAAGCACCGGCUAACUACGUGCCAGCAGCCGCGGUAAUACGUAGGGUGCAAGCGUUAAUCGGAAUUACUGGGCGUAAAGCGUGCGCAGGCGGUUAUGUAAGACAGGUGUGAAAUCCCCGGGCUUAACCUGGGAACUGCACUUGUGACUGCAUAGCUUGAGUGCGGCAGAGGGGGAUGGAAUUCCGCGUGUAGCAGUGAAAUGCGUAGAUAUGCGGAGGAACACCGAUGGCGAAGGCAAUCCCCUGGGCCUGCACUGACGCUCAUGCACGAAAGCGUGGGGAGCAAACAGGAUUAGAUACCCUGGUAGUCCACGCCCUAAACGAUGUCAACUGGUUGUUGGACGGCUUGCUGUUCAGUAACG
rnacentral:rRNA from 1 species